rnacentral:rRNA from 1 species
GACGAACGCUGGCGGCGUGCCUAAUACAUGCAAGUAGAACGCUGAAGCGAGGAGCUUGCUCUUCUUGGAUGAGUUGCGAACGGGUGAGUAACGCGUAGGUAACCUGCCUUGUAGCGGGGGAUAACUAUUGGAAACGAUAGCUAAUACCGCAUAACAAUGGAUGACACAUGUCAUUUAUUUGAAAGGGGCAAUUGCUCCACUACAAGAUGGACCUGCGUUGUAUUAGCUAGUAGGUGAGGUAAUGGCUCACCUAGGCGACGAUACAUAGCCGACCUGAGAGGGUGAGCGGCCACACUGGGACUGAGACACGGCCCAGACUCCUACGGGAGGCAGCAGUAGGGAAUCUUCGGCAAUGGGGGCAACCCUGACCGAGCAACGCCGCGUGAGUGAAGAAGGUUUUCGGAUCGUAAAGCUCUGUUGUAAGUCAAGAACGGGUGUGAGAGUGGAAAGUUCACACUGUGACGGUAGCUUACCAGAAAGGGACGGCUAACUACGUG